rnacentral:rRNA from 1 species
UGGGGAAUUUUGCACAAUGGAGGAAACUCUGAUGCAGCGACGCCGCGUGAGUGAUGAAGAUCUUCGGAUUGUAAAACUCUGUCCUUAGUGAAGAUAAUGACAGUAACUAAGAAGCAAGCCCUGGCUAAAUACGUGCCAGCAGCCGCGGUAAUACGUAUGGGGCAAGCGUUGUCCGGAAUUAUUGGGCGUAAAGGGUACGUAGGCGGUUUAAUAAGUCCUAAUUAAAAGGCUAUGGCUCAACCAUAGUAUGGUUAGGAAACUGUUGAACUUGAGUAGAUGAGGGGAAAGUGGAAUUCCAUGUGUAGCGGUGAAAUGCGUAGAUAUAUGGAGGAACACCAAUGGCGAAGGCAACUGUCUGGAAUCAAACUGACGCUGAGGUACGAAGGCGUGGGGAGCAAACAGG